rnacentral:rRNA from 1 species
UACGUAGGGGGCAAGCGUUGUCCGGAAUCAUUGGGCGUAAAGAGCGUGUAGGCGGUUCGGUAAGUCGGCUGUGAAAGUCCAGGGCUCAACCCUGGGAUGCCGGUCGAUACUGCCGGACUAGAGUUCGGAAGAGGCGAGUGGAAUUCCCGGUGUAGCGGUGAAAUGCGCAGAUAUCGGGAGGAACACCUAUGGCGAAGGCAGCUCGCUGGGAUGGUACUGACGCUGAGACGCGAAAGCGUGGGGAGCAAACAGG